GGUUAAGCGACUAAGCGUACACGGUGGAUGCCCUGGCAGUCAGAGGCGAUGAAGGACGUGCUAAUCUGCGAAAAGCGCCGGCGAGGUGAUAUGAACCCUUGACCCGGCGAUGUCCGAAUGGGGAAACCCAGUGCAAUCCGUUGCACUAUCGUUAACUGAAUACAUAGGUUAACGAGGCGAACCGGGGGAACUGAAACAUCUAAGUACCCCGAGGAAAAGAAAUCAACCGAGAUUCCCCCAGUAGCGGCGAGCGAACGGGGAGCAGCCCGGAGUCUGAAUCAGCUUGUGUGUUAGUGGAACGGUCUGGAAAGUCCGACGGUACAGGGUGAUAGUCCCGUACACGAAAGCACACUUGCUGUGAACUCGAAGAGUAGGGCGGGACACGUGGUAUCCUGUCUGAAUAUGGGGGGACCAUCCUCCAAGGCUAAAUACUCCUGACUGACCGAUAGUGAACCAGUACCGUGAGGGAAAGGCGAAAAGAACCCCGGCGAGGGGAGUGAAAAAGAACCUGAAACCGUGUACGUACAAGCAGUGGGAGCCUCUUUAUGGGGUGACUGCGUACCUUUUGUAUAAUGGGUCAGCGACUUAUAUUCUGUAGCAAGGUUAACCGUAUAGGGGAGCCGAAGGGAAACCGAGUCUUAACUGGGCGUUAAGUUGCAGGGUAUAGACCCGAAACCCGGUGAUCUAGCCAUGGGCAGGUUGAAGGUUGGGUAACACUAACUGGAGGACCGAACCGACUAAUGUUGAAAAAUUAGCGGAUGACCUGUGGCUGGGGGUGAAAGGCCAAUCAAACCGGGAGAUAGCUGGUUCUCCCCGAAAGCUAUUUAGGUAGCGCCUCGUGAACUCAUCUUCGGGGGUAGAGCACUGUUUCGGCUAGGGGGCCAUCCCGGCUUACCAACCCGAUGCAAACUACGAAUACCGAAGAAUGUUAUCACGGGAGACACACGGCGGGUGCUAACGUCCGUCGUGAAGAGGGAAACAACCCAGACCGCCAGCUAAGGUCCCAAAGUCAUGGUUAAGUGGGAAACGAUGUGGGAAGGCACAGACAGCCAGGAUGUUGGCUUAGAAGCAGCCAUCAUUUAAAGAAAGCGUAAUAGCUCACUGGUCGAGUCGGCCUGCGCGGAAGAUGUAACGGGGCUAAACCAUGCACCGAAGCUGCGGCAGCGACGCUUAUGCGUUGUUGGGUAGGGGAGCGUUCUGUAAGCCGUUGAAGGUGUGCUGUGAGGCAUGCUGGAGGUAUCAGAAGUGCGAAUGCUGACAUAAGUAACGAUAAAGCGGGUGAAAAGCCCGCUCGCCGGAAGACCAAGGGUUCCUGUCCAACGUUAAUCGGGGCAGGGUGAGUCGACCCCUAAGGCGAGGCCGAAAGGCGUAGUCGAUGGGAAACAGGUUAAUAUUCCUGUACUUGGUGUUACUGCGAAGGGGGGACGGAGAAGGCUAUGUCAGCCGGGCGACGGUUGUCCCGGUUUAAGCAUGUAGGCGGAGGUUCCAGGUAAAUCCGGUACCUUAUUAACGCUGAGGUGUGAUGACGAGGCACUACGGUGCUGAAGUGAUAAAUGCCCUGCUUCCAGGAAAAGCCUCUAAGCAUCAGGUAACACGAAAUCGUACCCCAAACCGACACAGGUGGUCAGGUAGAGAAUACCAAGGCGCUUGAGAGAACUCGGGUGAAGGAACUAGGCAAAAUGGUGCCGUAACUUCGGGAGAAGGCACGCUGAUGUGUAGGUGAAGUCCCUGCGGACGGAGCUGAAAUCAGUCGAAGAUACCAGCUGGCUGCAACUGUUUAUUAAAAACACAGCACUGUGCAAACACGAAAGUGGACGUAUACGGUGUGACGCCUGCCCGGUGCCGGAAGGUUAAUUGAUGGGGUUAGCGGCAACGCGAAGCUCUUGAUCGAAGCCCCGGUAAACGGCGGCCGUAACUAUAACGGUCCUAAGGUAGCGAAAUUCCUUGUCGGGUAAGUUCCGACCUGCACGAAUGGCGUAAUGAUGGCCAGGCUGUCUCCACCCGAGACUCAGUGAAAUUGAACUCGCUGUGAAGAUGCAGUGUACCCGCGGCAAGACGGAAAGACCCCGUGAACCUUUACUAUAGCUUGACACUGAACACUGGUCCUUGAUGUGUAGGAUAGGUGGGAGGCUUUGAAGCGUGGACGCCAGUCUGCGUGGAGCCAACCUUGAAAUACCACCCUUUAAUGGCUGGUGUUCUAACGUGGACCCGUAAUCCGGGUUGCGGACAGUGUCUGGUGGGUAGUUUGACUGGGGCGGUCUCCUCCCAAAGAGUAACGGAGGAGCACGAAGGUUGGCUAAUCCUGGUCGGACAUCAGGAGGUUAGUGCAAUGGCAUAAGCCAGCUUGACUGCGAGCGUGACGGCGCGAGCAGGUGCGAAAGCAGGUCAUAGUGAUCCGGUGGUUCUGAAUGGAAGGGCCAUCGCUCAACGGAUAAAAGGUACUCCGGGGAUAACAGGCUGAUACCGCCCAAGAGUUCAUAUCGACGGCGGUGUUUGGCACCUCGAUGUCGGCUCAUCACAUCCUGGGGCUGAAGUAGGUCCCAAGGGUAUGGCUGUUCGCCAUUUAAAGUGGUACGCGAGCUGGGUUUAGAACGUCGUGAGACAGUUCGGUCCCUAUCUGCCGUGGGCGCUGGAGAAUUGAGGGGGGCUGCUCCUAGUACGAGAGGACCGGAGUGGACGCAUCACUGGUGUUCGGGUUGUCAUGCCAAUGGCACUGCCCGGUAGCUAAAUGCGGAAGAGAUAAGUGCUGAAAGCAUCUAAGCACGAAACUUGCCCCGAGAUGAGUUCUCCCUGAGACUUUAAGUCUCCUGAAGGAACGUUGAAGACGACGACGUUGAUAGGUCGGGUGUGUAAGCGCAGCGAUGCGUUGAGCUAACCGAUACUAAUGAACCGUGAGGCUUAACCUU
rnacentral:rRNA from 1 species